rnacentral:rRNA from 1 species
GACGAACGCUGGCGGCGUGCCUAACACAUGCAAGUCGAACGGAACUGCCCGAAUGAAGUUUUCGGAUGGAUUUUGGGUAUGUUUAGUGGCGGACUGGUGAGUAACGCGUGAGCAACCUGCCUUGGAGUGGGGAAUAACACCGGGAAACCGGUGCUAAUACCGCAUAAAGUGCAGAGGGGACAUCCUCUUUGCACCAAAGGAGCAAUCCGCUCUGAGAUGGGCUCGCGUCCAAUUAGCUAGAUGGUGAGGUAAAGGCCCACCAUGGCGACGAUUGGUAGCCGGACUGAGAGGUUGAACGGCCACAUUGGGACUGAGAUACGGCCCAGACUCCUACGGGAGGCAGCAGUGGGGAAUAUUAGGCAAUGGGGAAACCCUGACCUAGCAACGCCGCGUGAAGGAUGAAGGUUUUCGGAUUGUAAACCUCUGUUCUUGGAGAAGAGUGUAAGACGGUAUCCAAGGAGGAAGCCCCGACUAACUACGUGCCAGCAGCCCGGGUAAUAAUGUGUGUA